CAUAGCCAGCCACGACGAGCACUAGUUUCUUCCUCUUUUUUUCUUUCAGAUUUUUCCAUUGAAGCCGUCCACGCCAUUCUCGUGUUUGCCUCAAAUUCUCAUCGGAGACCUCACCGGAGCCGGAGGUAAGCCCCGACCCUCCUUCCUCUCUUCUUUUCCCUCCUUUCUAUAGCUUCUUGCAUCCUUGCCGGCCGGUCGGAUCGUCAGAAAAUCCUCAAAACGUCAUGAC
rnacentral:lncRNA from 1 species